UACGAAGGGGGAGCUAGCGUUGUUCGGAUUUACUGGGCGUAAAGCGCACGUAGGCGGAUUGUUAAGUGAGGGGUGAAAUCCUGGAGCUCAACUCCAGAACUGCCUUUGAUACUGAGGAUCUUGAGUUCGGGAGAGGUGAGUGGAACUGCGAGUGUAGAGGUGAAAUUCGUAGAUAUUCGCAAGAACACCAGUGGCGAAGGCGGCUCACUGGCCCGAUACUGACGCUGAGGCACGAAAGCGUGGGGAGCAAACAGGG
rnacentral:rRNA from 1 species